rnacentral:misc_RNA from 1 species
UCUCGGCUUAUCACCGGCAGCCCCCUUAGAGUGCCCAACUGAAUGCUGGCAACUAAGGGCGAGGGUUGCGCUCGUUGCGGGACUUAACCCAACAUCUCACGGCACGAGCUGACGACAGCCGUGCAGCACCUGCACAGGCUCCCUUGCGGGUCCCUUGGCUUUCGCCUCGGUACCACCUGCAUGUCAAGUCCGGGUAAGGUUCUUCGCGUUGCGUCGAAUUAAACCACAUGCUCCACCGCUUGUGCGGGCCCCCGUCAAUUCCUUUGAGUUUUAGCCUUGCGGCCGUAGUCCCCAGGCGGCGGACUUAGUGCGUUAGCUGCGGCGCCGAGGGGGUCGAUACCCCCGACACCUAGUCCGCAUCGUUUACAGCGUGGACUAC